rnacentral:sRNA from 1 species
UUUUUUUUCCUUUUUUUU